GUCGGUGACGUCAGUGACAGAGUCAGCUAACAGUCGGGAGAUACCACAGUCUCGAACUGCAGUGAGGAUGUGAAUCGAUUCCUGUGGCUGGUUUUAAAAAACUGGAUUUCUUAUAUAUACAGUGAAUCCAGUCUUCUGCUCUUUGGCUUAGAGUGUGGAAAGCAUCUUCCCAUCAAAAUGGAGUCUUUCCUCUUGAAUGACGUCGGCUCCAUGAUAUGCAAUAAAGCCAUCGAGAGAAUCAUCUCACUGAUGACUGUUCAGCUUUGUCAUCUGAUCCUCUCAAUGGAGAAAAAAGUCAUGGAGAAUGAAGUGUUUGCCUCUUUGGAGAAGACGGCAGAGGAGCUGGUUCAAGCUAGUGAAGAGUUUGUGCAAGUUGCCCAAAGGCAUUAGAAUGAGCACAGCUCAGCUGGUGAUACAUAAAUCUAAAGCCUUAUGAAGUACUCGAGGCAUAAUUCAUGAGAUAAGAAAAUGAUGAAUGAGAAGAUGGAUGUUAGCUGAGCCUACUGAGGUAAUCAUUUCACAGUACAUAGCAAUCAAAACUGUCAUGCUGUAUGCCUUAAACUUAUACAGUGAUGUAUGUCAAUUAUUUCCUAAUAAAGCUUUUAAAUUUUAAAAUCAUAAAACAAAAAAAUAGGUCUUAUUGGUGUCAUUUAGAUCAGCCCCAUGAGAAGGUUUCUGUCGUCAGGGGGUCUUCCUUCAAACACCAACCUCCCUUUCUGAAGUUUCAAUGUUUCCUCAGUUCCUGUGUGCAAAAUUCAAAGCCUCUGAAAUGGUACACAGAAGCGCUCUGAAUCUGAACCUUGUAAAUUGCCCUCACCUUCUCUUAUAUCCAAACACCUCUUCGUCUUAGAUAUGCAGAGUCAUUUGUGAUUAUUUCUGUUCAUCACCUCUGCACGCGUUGUCCUUCCUGACUGCCUGGAAAACUCCCAAUAUCCUCUAAGAGAUAACCUGAGUGUUAACUUCUCUAAAUUGAAUUCUAUUCAGGGAGUGCACUUGAGCACCUCCCCUGAAAGACUUUCUUCUGGACCCUGAACCAGCUUUCCCUGCCCUGGAGCCUAACCCAGCCUGGCGACCCACUACGCUGAAGCCCCACAGUGAGCUAUAUGUGCCCUGAAUAAUUUAUAUCAUAAUGUCGGACACUGCUGAGCGACCGAACAAGGACUCCCAAGCAAAUCUUUUACGGUUGCUAUUGCAGGGAAUGGCCACAAGGAGGCGGGCUUUUCUCAAGCCCAAUUGUGAUUACCUGGGAAAUGAGCUUUUGAGAGUUUUAAUUCAGGGCUGUAAUGUACCUGAACGAACACCCAAA